UGGUUUCCCACGUUGAAAAGGAAGUGACGCCUGCUCAGGGUUCCCGGAAGCGCCUUGCUUCUGUAUGCGAAAAAAGUGUUUUCACUGGUUUAGGCAAGUGGUGGGACUCCGUGAGAGCAGAAGGUAAAGAGUGGUCUCGAAGUAUGGCUACAUUUUACCUUCAUACAGUAAUUUGGUCACCUGUACCUCCUUCCUAAUAACUGCUGCUGUGCCCCCUCCGUAAACCCUGCUAUGUGAUUGUAUAUUAGUUGAAUAUCUUUCCCUAUUGGGGGGGCAGGAAAGAAUUGGUUAUUUGAGGGUGCACUUGGGUGCAUACGGAGACUUUUUUCUAUCAGGCAGGGGAAUACAACUUUUGAGGUAAAGUACUUCUCCCAGAACAAGACGGAGAAUGGUAGGACUUUUGUCUUUCCCAAGGAAAUGAAAGAGGACUUAAGAAGCUGAGCUCGAAGGAACUGUUUUUUUGUCUGAUUCCAAAGCUAGCUAUAUAAUGCUGCUGUGGCUCAUGCCCUGAGAUGGCCAAAACAGGCACUGAUGAACCUCAGUUAUCACAAGAAACAGAGCCAACUUCACAGGUCAAAAAAGAAUGGUCAGUGGCAAAGACAGAGUCCCAGAACACAGUGAAAAUUGAAGUAAUUUGCACAGAUGAUGGCGAAAGUUCUACGCACAGCACUGCUGAGGAGCCAGCCCGCAAACGCAAAAAGGGACCUGCCCCCAAGAUGUUGGGGGAUGAAGUCUGCAGCGUGUGCGGGGACAAGGCCUCGGGUUUUCACUAUAAUGUCCUGAGUUGUGAGGGCUGUAAGGGCUUCUUCCGGCGCAGCCUCAUCAAAGGAGCUCAGUACACCUGCAAGGGCAGUGGGCAAUGCCACAUGGACAUGUACAUGCGCCGGAAGUGUCAGGAAUGCCGGUUGAAAAAAUGCCGACAAGCAGGCAUGCGAGAAGAAUGUGUCCUUUCAGAAGAGCAAAUCCGCAAGAAGAAGAUCUCUAAACACGAGGGUGAUACGGUUCCAGCUGAGGAGAGAGAUGGAGAUGAAGUACUUCGAGUGCCUCCAUUGCUCUGUGAUCCUGCUUUAUCCCAGCCUGAGCCAGUUCCUCUUACCCCACAGCAGGAAGGCAUGAUCCAGCAGUUGGUGGCGGCCCAACAACAGUGCAACAAGAGGAGCUUUAGCGAUCAGCCCAAAGUCACGCCCUGGCCAAUGAGCAGUGACCCCAACAGCCGGGAAGCCCGCCAGCAGCGCUUUGCCCAUUUUACCGAAUUAGCCAUCAUCUCAGUGCAAGAGAUUGUGGACUUUGCCAAGCAAGUACCCGGCUUCCUGCAGCUCUCGCGGGAAGACCAAAUUGCUCUGCUAAAGGCUUCUACCAUUGAGAUCAUGUUACUGGAGACAGCCCGGCGCUAUAAUCAUGAGACUCAGUGCAUUACAUUUCUUAAAGAUUUCACAUACAGCAAGGAUGACUUUCACCGUGCAGGUCUUCAAGUUGAAUUCAUCAAUCCUAUAUUUGAGUUUUCCCGGGCCAUGCGAGAGUUGCAACUGGAUGAUGCCGAAUAUGCCCUCCUCAUUGCGAUCAACAUCUUCUCUGCUGACAGGCCCAACGUGCAGGACCAUGGCCUGGUAGAGGCAUUGCAGCAGCCCUACAUUGAGGCCCUCAGUUCUUACAUCCACCUCAAUCGCCCACAGGACCACCUGAUGUUCCCCCGCAUGCUGAUGAAGCUGGUGAGCCUGAGGACUUUGAGCAGUGUGCACUCAGAGCAGGUCUUUGCUUUGCGCCUUCAAGACAAGAAGCUUCCGCCACUUCUGUCUGAGAUUUGGGACGUACAUGAAUAGACAUUUUGAAUGGAAUGGGGAAGAGGUUGACCUCUCCCAGCAGCACCAGCAGACACGCUUCCCCAUAGCGAGUCUUUGGAUUCAGCAUAAGCCUUACAAUGGUUGGACUGGGAUCCUGCCAAAAGAAUUGAGUCAAGGCCUGCCACGUUUCUUCCUGCUGCUGAAAUUCAGUAGGAAAUCACCAAGAGACAAUGGGCUGAUUUCUUUCAAAAUGAGAACUGUAACAGGUAUGAUAUGUCUCCAACAGACGUAGCAGACCCACUGAAGGCCCCCAGAUGGGAAAACUGCUUCCACCCCUUCUAGGGAUGUUGCCACAUCCCUAUUAAUAUUUUCUUCCUGGAAAAAUGUUUAUUUAAAAACAACAAAAGUUUUUCUUCCCAUCAUAACAGGACAGUACCUUACUGUCAGGACCCUUUUAGAGGGAGGCAAUGGCACACAUUUGCUUAUUUGCACACAUUUGCUUAUGUAAUUAAUUUCUAAGCCUGCCCACUUGCCAAUAAUUCUGGGUUAUCUUCCAAAGAGUUAAGAAAAAUCAAUUAAAAAGUCAACUGUCUUCUUAAAAGCCAACAGGCUUGAGGCCACAUGGAUUUCAAGAGAGGAAUCCCUAUCCAAAGCACAGUUCAGUGUUCAAAAUAACCAGAUCAAUAUUUUUCAUCUGAGGCAAUCAAACUAAUCCAUUAAAAUAGAUUCCCCCCCCAAAUUUCAAUCUUUCUAUUUACUGAACCAUUAUACUUGUGACAGAACAAGAAUCCUAAGAUUGGAAGGGAACGCAAGCCACUGCUCAGAGCAAUUUGGGCAGUGGCUUGGACAAAUUGCUACCCAACCUUUGCUUAAAAACCUCCAGUGUUGGAAAACCCAUAACUCCUGGAGGCAAGUGAUUCCAUCACUUUGUAGACUUCACAACUAAAAAAAUUCUUCCUUAUUUUAGAUUUGAAUUUCCCUUGGUUUAUCUUCCAUGCAUUGUUUCUUGGUCAAUCCUUGAGUACUGUGAUUAAUAAAUCCACAUCCUCUUCCCUAUAAAAGUCCUUCAAGUAUUGGAAAAAUGCUGUCAAAUAUCCCCUUGGUUUUAUUUUUUAUGCCAAACAAUACCCGAUUCUUUUUACCAUUCUUCAGAGCCUCCAUGCCUCUCACCCUCUCUGUAGCUGUUCUUUGCACUCUUUCCCUUCCAUAGCAUGGGAUUUUGAAAACUGCAGCUGUCUUUUGAAGUGUUAGCUAUCCUCAUCCCUUCUAUACUCUUGUCUAGGUCAUUUAUGAAAAUAUUGAAGAGCCCUAAACCCAAGACAGGACCUUGAGAUACCCCACUACAUACCUUCCAUCAUGUAGAUAUAGAUUUCUUUAUUGGGUAUGAUUGCUCAACCAACUAUGAAUUCAUCUGGUAAUGGAACCAUCCUUCCCAUAUUGUUCUAUUUUAUCAAGAAGGAAGUUGUGGUCAACGUUAUUAUAUGCCUUGCUGAAGUCUAAGUAUACAAUAUCUAUACCAUUCCUUUGGUUUACUGAUUAGUCAACUUUUUAAAAAACUAACUAAAUAAAAAUAUUUAUCUGGCAUGAUCUAUUUUGAAAAAUCCAUGCUGCCUUCUAGCAUUAUCAUGUUCCUUUCUAAGUGCUUGCUAACCCACUACUUGAUUAUUUUUUCCAUUUCUCCAAAUAUCCGAAAUGGAAGUGAAUAAAACACAUUGAUGUAGGAUACUCUGCUGACAGGGAAACAUUCAAAUUAAUAUGCUAUUUCUGGGCUCUCCAAAAUCUUUGAAAUACUCCGGCCACUGCUGCAGUUAUACCAAGAAACUUGCUAUGAUAAGUGUGAUUCUGGUGACAGCCAUUAGAUGGGAUAAGGUAAAAUAUUUUUGAGAUGAGUCCAAGUAAUCCCUUGUUUUACUUGAAAAGAAAUCCUCAGUUUUGGUUCAAACAAAGCUUAUAAUUACAGAAGGAAUUGGCAGAGUUAAUUAUCUCAUACUGGUUUCAAAGAGAGCAGAAAGAUGAUUGUAUUUAUUUACUUCCUGCCUUUAUUAUUUUUAUAAAUAACUCAAGGCAAUGAACACAAUAUUACUUCCUUCUCCUAUUUCCCCCACUACAACAACUUCGUGAGGCUGAGAAAGAAUGAUUGGCCCAAAGUUGCCCAGCUACUUUUCAGGCCUAAGUCAGGAUUAGAACUCGGUCUCUUGGCUUCUGGUGCCUUAACCACUAGACUAAACUGGCUAUCAUAUUAACUCAUGUUCAAAACCUUGCAGAACUCCCCCCCCCACCUUCUUCCACUUUCCUAUUUCUCAUCUUGCUGUGGCUGUCAAACCUUUCAAACUAAUCAAUUUGUGGGAACCUUUUAUGAAAAAUCACUGUUUUAAAAAUGACAUGAAAAAGUAGAUUUCCAGAUGACCCAGUUUUGAUGAAAAGCCUAAUUAAAAUAAUUUUACGCUGAUACCAAAAGUUAUCACAUGGGUCUUUUCUUCUGUCCCUCCAUCAAUUAACUUUUUUAACUAAAUAAAUGUUUAGUUUGUUUUAAUUACCA